rnacentral:lncRNA from 1 species
UUCUUAAUUUUUCUUUUCUAUUUCUCUCUCUUUUUAGUUUAUUUUUGUUUAAAUUUCUUAUCUAGUGCAGUGCUACUAAGGUAUUCUUCUUUCUGUUUGCAUGCAAGGUCAAGACAAUCAUGCAAGAUGAUGUUUAUGCUACCUUUUCAAAGUUUAAAGCUUAUGCAAAGGAACUUGCAUAAAAAAUGCUCAUUCUGGAAAAUGC